rnacentral:rRNA from 1 species
CCUACGGGAGGCUGCAGUGGGGAAUAUUGGACAAUGGGCGAAAGCCUGAUCCAGCCAUGCCGCGUGUGUGAAGAAGGCCUUCGGGUUGUAAAGCACUUUCAGUGGGGAAGAAAGCCUUGGGGCUAAUACCCUCGAGGAAGGACAUCACCCACAGAAGAAGCACCGGCUAACUCCGUGCCAGCAGCCGCGGUAAUACGGAGGGUGCGAGCGUUAAUCGGAAUUACUGGGCGUAAAGCGCGCGUAGGCGGUCUGAUAAGCCGGUUGUGAAAGCCCCGGGCUCAACCUGGGAACGGCAUCCGGAACUGUCAGGCUAGAGUGCAGGAGAGGAAGGUAGAAUUCCCGGUGUAGCGGUGAAAUGCGUAGAGAUCGGGAGGAAGACCAGUGGCGAAGGCGGCCUUCUGGACUGACACUGACGCUGAGGUGCGAAAGCGUGGGUAGCAAACAGGAUUAGAUACCCCUGUAGUC